rnacentral:misc_RNA from 1 species
UCCGGUUUGUCACCGGCAGUCCCAUUAGAGUGCCCAACUAAAUGAUGGCAACUAAUGGCAAGGGUUGCGCUCGUUGCGGGACUUAACCCAACAUCUCACGACACGAGCUGACGACAGCCAUGCAGCACCUGUGUGCAGGUUCUCUUGCGAGCACUCCUCUAUCUCUAAAGGAUUCCUGCCAUGUCAAAGGUGGGUAAGGUUUUUCGCGUUGCAUCGAAUUAAACCACAUCAUCCACCGCUUGUGCGGGUCCCCGUCAAUUCCUUUGAGUUUUAACCUUGCGGCCGUACUCCCCAGGCGGUCAACUUCACGCGUUAGCUUCGUUACUGAGAAAGUAAAUUCCCAACAACCAGUUGACAUCGUUUAGGGCGUGGACUAC